rnacentral:rRNA from 1 species
GUCGGGAAUUUUGGGCAAUGGGCGAAAGCCUGACCCAGCAACGCCGCGUGAAGGAUGAAAUCCCUCGGGAUGUAAACUUCGCAAGAACGGGAAGAAUAAGUGAGGGUUAAUAUCUCUCGCGAUGACGGUACCGUUUGUAAGCUCCGGCUAACUCCGUGCCAGCAGCCGCGGUAAUACGGGGGGAGCAAGCGUUGUUCGGAUUUACUGGGCGUAAAGGGCGCGUAGGCGGCCACCGCAAGUCGAUUGUGAAAUCUCCGGGCUUAACCCGGAAAGGUCAACCGAUACUGCGGGGCUAGAGUGCAGAAGGGGCAACUGGAAUUCUUGGUGUAGCGGUGAAAUGCGUAGAUAUCAAGAGGAACACCUGCGGCGAAGGCGGGUUGCUGGGCUGACACUGACGCUGAAGUGCGAAAGCUAGGGGAGCGAACGGGAUUAGAAACCCCGGUAGUCC